AUCACAGUGACAGGCUGCGCCAGGAUGGGGGCACGACCCUAGGGCAGAGGAGGAAGAGGAGGAAGGGGUGGGGGGGAGCCGGCAGCCCCCCCUCCUCCCCAUGCCGGCGCUUCUCCGUCUGUCCGACCCGACGGUCCGCGAAGUCUGUGCGUCCUGGGACCAGCGGCCUGUAGCCAGAGAGGCCAGCGCGUAGCUUAUUGCUUGUGUGAUCCAUGGAAGAUCCAUGCAGGAGAGAACCAAGCGGGCGGGGGCUCCGGGGGGGUCCUCAAAGGAGCAGAGUCUGUGAGUCCAGAAACCGGAACAGAGAGUGUGUGUGUGGGGGGGGGACAGACAGACUGACGGGGCGCACAGGGAUGGACGGACAGAAUGGUGCACAUGGGGACGGACAGUCGGAGGGGUAUGUAUAGAGACAGACAGACACCUGGAGGGGUGCAUACAGGGACAGGCAGCUGGAAGGGGGUAGAUGAGGACAGACAGACAGUUGGAGGGGGGUGUAUGGGGACACACAGACGGAGGGGGGUUGAUGAGGACAGACAGGGGGGUGUAUGGAGACACACAGCCGGAGGGGUGUUCAUGAGGACUGACAGACAGUCGGAGGGGGGGUGUAUGGGGACACACAGCUGGAGGGGGGUUGAUGAGGACAGACAGACAGUCGGAAGGGGGUGUAUGGGGACACACAGCCGGAGGGGGGUUGAUGAGGACAGACAGACAGUCGGAGAGGGGUGUAUGGGGACACAGCCGGAGGGGGG